AUAUUUGGAUCAGAGCAGCAGAUCAGGGCAGUCUGUGAUGUGACUUAGCAAGAAUUCAAGGGACAGAAAACUAUGGCUUGAGGUGACGUGGAGGGGAAGAACUCUGGUUUGUACAGAAAAAAGCAAAAACCUGGAAUAACAAGUCUAGGAAGAACACUGACCAGCUGGACAGCGUCCAGAGGAGGGUGAUGAAGGGCUGAGAGUCCAUGCCAGGAGCUGAUAUGUGCCACACUGAAUAGAGUGUCAGGCCUGGAGUGAGGAAGAACGAAGUUCUGACACUUACUAGCUGUGUGACCUUGGGCAAGUCACUUUACCUCUGUCUGCCUCAGUUUCUUCAUCUAUAAA